rnacentral:lncRNA from 1 species
CCAUUGUUUUGUAUUAACAUUUUCUACCCAAUGACUUUUGUUAAAUAUGGUAUUAGGCACAUAAAUACUAGGCAUUAUUUUUGAGCAUGCCCACAAAGUUUGGAGGCAAAUCGAGUUAAAAAAUAAUUGUUUAUUUUGAAAAGGUCAUUUUACUUGUUGUUGGACCAUUUGUUAAAUUACUAAGAAUUUAUUUGUGAGUCAAAUGAAGUUUGUUUCAACAUGACAAUUGAUCAGGGGAAAUUAUAGAAUAAUACGAACAUUUUUGCUUUACUGUUUUAAGAAACUAUAAUUUGACUUGUCAUUUGAAUUUAGCUUGAAACGAGUGAGGUUUAGCAAAAAUUGAAUUAUGAUGACCUGGCAUCAUUAAUAGGGGUUACUGUAGCUUAACUAUCGGGGUCUCACAAAUCUCCUCCACUAAAAUAAAUCUCGUCCCGAGAUUUAAGAGGUGGGGUAAGGGGGAAAGUUCUGGUUACGAAAUUCAAACGGAUCUUCUUAGUCUUGGUUGCUUUUCUCGAAGAGGUUGAUCCCUUUCGUUGACAUCUUCAUUUCUCUGCAUCAAUGCGUCAUGAUGAAUUUUCCAUUCUUCCUUCAGGAUCUCCAUCGUACUUACGAAAAAGAUAAGGGGAAAAACUCAGGAAGGAUGGAGCUCAACACUGUUAGGUACCUGGGGGCUAUCUUAGUGGACGAGGCAUAGGGGCAUCUCUUGAGUUGAAAUUCAAGAAAGUCAUUGAGAGUAAGGGAUGAAGGUGCAAUAAGAAGUUUCUAGCGGAUAGGCAAUCGUUCGUUGCCUGAAAUAGAGUGUGAAAGGGGUUCAGAGCAAUGUGAAUAAGUAUUGUGUUUGAUAACAAAAUUGAUGAUCUCUUAGAAGGUGGCUCGUGAAUUACAUACGAGGUCACACACAAGGAACAACCUUGGGAACAUGGGGUGCUGGAGAAUCAAGUUUCAAUCUUGUGGAACUAUGGGUUAUGGGGCCACCAUGUGGGUUAAGGGUAGGAAGGCGAUGAUGACUUACAUGAUCAUGUAAGCAAGGCAUGUUAGAGGAUAGUCUGUCAGUUAUGUCAGCAACAACAUCGGUACCAAGGGCGAGGGACGAAGAGAACCAUUUUCCUGCUCGUUGAACAAGGCAGACCAAUAGGCAAAAUUCUCGUCCAUCGGUGAUUACUAGAAAGUCAUCAACAAUAAUAACAGGGCCUUACUGACAGAGUUGUACACCGAGGUGUUUACCUAAGUAGGAAAUUAUCUCUGCUCAGAUAAAUUGGAUUACAGGAAAGGUUAAAAAAACAAUGGAAAAGAUAAUAUGAUUAUCAGAUUAAACAGAUAAAUGGAAAGGAAAAUGUGUUUAACACAUAUUUUAGCGGUAUAUCCUUCCCAAGGGCAAGUAGAGCAUGGUAUCCAUGACAAGAUAUAACGUAGAAAACCCUUUAGGAAAGGGGAGAGAAAUUUCAUGACAUUACCCAUAGAAUGGUGUUUGGAUAAUUAAUAAGGAAAAUGUAGCAUUUUGCUUCAAAUGUUUUUAUUGAAAAUCGGGGUACCACAAACAUGCUUCGAGAUAGCAUUGACAUGGUCAUCAGGUGAAGAUCAGACUUUGGAAACAGAAAGGAUCCAUCAGGAACAACUUGUAGAAUAAGUCUUACAAUUUCCUCAUGGAAGAAUGGCUAACCUUGCUAAAAAGGGAACUAUAACGAUAGGUCCUUCGGCCAGGUGUGCUAGGCAUGACAUCACCUUACCGGGUCAUAAUAAGACCACUGUUAUAACUCUUGGAAAAUGUUCCAACCAUCAUAUCUGACCGAGUUUCAGAUCUGAUUGGGGUCAGGAUACCUCAGAGUCAGGAUGCCUGAGAAGAAAAGGUGCGACACAAAUUGACACGAUGACAUUGUAAGAUUCUCGGGAAUUGAACUACCGAAGCGAGUUCCGCAACUAGAGUUCAUCAUUAAAACUAGGAGAGUAUGAGGAGGUGGUUGAUGAACUCAGUGACAAUUCAUCGAGAUUUCCAACAGAUGAAUUUCCACAAUUAUGUGAACAAGGAGAAAACAUUUUUCAGAUCAAAUGAUAUAAUGAGGUAUGCUCGAGCAAAACAUACUCAAUUAACAUUGGUUGAAAGGUGCACCCGAAAUAUGGGCUUAUGUAGCACGAUCAAUGUUAGAAUGGCGAUUCAAUAACCAAUAGUCUGAGGAUGAACUGUCGGCCAUUAACUUCAAAGCAAUAGGGUUGCCUCAAUUACAGAAUCCAAGCAACAUUGUUCACUUGUUGAUAUUCCCGGUUAAUCAAUACGGGGACCAAGAAAGAAUGGUGCUUGUGAGAAGUAUCACUAUACCAAGAAUUCUUAAGAGGUGGAGCAAUCCUUGCAACAUCCUUGACAUAAAGGACAAUUAUACUUCAAGGUAGAACAUAAUACAAGCUGGAUAGCAAGUAGCAUCCAUAACAUGGACAAGUUUGUGAUGAAAGGAAGGUAAGAUGUUGUCGAGGGUAACUCAAAUUACCAAGGGAUGAGGAUGGCACUUAUCAUCAUGAAUUUGAUUAAUAUCCUGGAAGGAGUCAAAAUGUUGAUGAUGAUCACGACAAAUUUUGUCGAGAGGCUCCACAAAGAAGUAAUCGAACAACUACUACAUCAAGCAAAAGGACUAAUGUAGUGAAAGAUUGUUGGAAUCAUGGAUACGACACCAAGUCGGAAUCAAGCUUGUUGUUCGAGGUGAAACGAUAAGACAAGGAAGAUCGACGUAGGGUUAGCUCAUCGUCGAAAAUUGUGCUCCAUGAAGAAGGACCAUGUAGCACAGUUUAAAAAUUAGCACAAUAAUGAUAUAGCCGAUCAGGCUAGGAAUGACUUGUAUGAUUAUUGAACUCAUAAGUAAUGAAAAUUACUUAGGGUUAUCAAACCAGAAUGUGGAAUCCGUUCACAUAUCGGUGUUCUCGGUUGACGACAACCCAGAACCCAGGAAAAUUGGAAUUAGUGAGAAUAACAGCUGAUGAAGAACCCAUAAGAAGUUAUGCAGUUCCAUGAUAUUCUCAAGAUAGUAGAGUGUAAUACUCGAUGGUAGAUCAAAGUCAAGGUUGGACUGGGGUAUUAAUCCGCAGAAGACAAAUGCUUAAACUUGCCCGAGAAAUUGGAUCAAAGGAGAACAAUAUGGUCGAAACCAUAGCUGCAAGGGAUCCAAUUAUAAUGACACUGAAAGAAUUUCCCAAAUGAUUAAAUAUUUUGCAAGAAGCUUCCAUGAUAAGUUUCACAUCGGGUUGAUGGGCAUGAACACAAAGUUCAAGGUCGACUCCCACUUCUUUGAUGAACCUUCCAUUCACUUCUCAUCUGCAAAGAAGUUGUAUGGUAGAAAAUUAUCUGGUAAAACACCAGAAGGGUAUGACUUGUGAAAACCUUGAGGUUCAUACGGUUUUUGGGAAGGUAUAGGUUCAACCCAUUGGGGCAUCUUAGAAGCAUAUACCACAAAUUUCAAGAGUAAAUAUCACCAGCUCAAAAGCAGAGCAUGGUUUGGCCAAAUCAGAGAAUAGGAUUUACCAAUGGCAUUAUGUAUCAGGGAAAUAACUUCUCGAGAUUUUUGUAUACAAAGGACACUAUCGGAUGAUAAUUCAACAAAGGAUCCGACGGUCCAUAAUGGAGCUGAUGUGAGCAUCAGCACACAACGAGAGGAAGAAACAAUGCAAAUGUAUUGGAUUAUAGAAACAACUGACUAAUUCAGAGCUCAAAUGUAAAGAAUUAUGAUUUCUGAUUCAAAGGAUCAGAAGCGAACGCUCUGAUUAAGGAUGGGUAAGCUGAAUAGACUUAGGGGUACAAUCAAUGACAACUUGAUUGGUCGAGAUCUAGCUCAUGUUUAAAACGACGUCUGAGCCGGAAGGAUGAAUUCCAGGAUUUGAUUGAGGAUUGCGAGCAUUCGCAACAUAUUGACUCAAAGGACUCAAAAUGAUAAUGACGAAGGAUGCCAAUAAGAUUGCCAGACUUAUGGAAUUAAUCAUAAUGCAAGCAAGAAUUUCAAGAGCAAUAGGUUAUUGAGGAUUUUUGGAAGAUCGAAUGGUGUUUCGAAGACUUUUGUGAAAUACAUGAAUCAACUGGGGAUGAGCGGAUACUCGAUAAGUGUGAGGAAUUAUCCGUAGGGGUAUUAAUGCGGAAAAGAGCUGCAAAGCGAUGAGCACAAAGGAUUCUCGGAAUAUCGGAGAAUUUUUCAGUGUAUCGAGUAAUAACAGGGGUAACUGGGAAAGAAGGUAUGAACGACAAGUGUAAGCAGUUAUCCAUAAGGAUUUAUCGGUGGUCUGGAAUAGCAAAAGUGGUGGGCACAAAGUCUCGAGAGAACAUCAGAGAGUAACUUCAGAAUCUUCUGGUGAAGUAGACGAUCAUCGUAAUAAGGUGCUCUCUGGGUGAAAGUGAUCACGAGAUCCUAAUGUUAGAUUUAGCUAAAUUCAUUAACCCGAAUAGAAGAGAGAUUAGAGUCCUAGAUUAUAGAUGAGGAAUAAAAGAUUCUAAUACCACCCAAUAGCGACGUGGGCCCAUGGGCCGCACAGCCAUGUUAGUAAAAUUGUUUUCAUCGACUAGACUCAACUUCGGCCAAGGAGUGUGGAAGGGGGAUUCCUACAGGCAGUUGGCUCUGAUACCAACUUGUGACGCCCCUGAUUUGACUGUACACUAAUCAUACACGUAAAUGUGUAUGAUCAAGAUCAAGGACUCACGGGAAGAUAUCACAACACAACUCUAGACACAAAAUAAAAUAAUACAAGCUUUAUAUUACAAGCCAGGGGCCUCGAGGGCUCGAAUACAUAAGCUCGAAUGCACAAGAGUCAGCGGGAGCAAUAAUAUCUGAGUACAGACAUAAGUUAAACAAGUUUGCCUUAAGAAGGCUAGCACAAACUAGGAUACAGAUCGAAAGGGGCGUAGGCCUCCUGCCUGGGAUCCACCUAAACUACUCCUGGUCGUUGUCAGCGGGCUGCACGUAGUAGUAGGCACCUCUUGAGUAGGAGUAGUCGUCGUCGACGGAGGCGUCUAGCUCCUGGGCUCCAACAUUUGGUCGCGGCAAUCGGGUAUAGAGAGGGGGGAAAAGAGGGAGCAAAGCAACCGUGAGUACUCAUCCAAAGUACUCGCAAGCAAGGAGCUACACUACAUAUGUAUGCAUUGGUAUCAAAUGGAAUAAGGGUAUCAUAUGUGGACUGAACUGCAGAAUGCCGGAAUAAGAGGGGGAUAGCUAGUCCUAUCGAAGUCUACGCUUCUGGUAACCUCCAUCUUGCAGCAGGAGAAGAGAGUAGAUGGUAAGUUCACCAAGUAACAUCGCAUAGCAUAAUCCUAACCCGGCGAUCCUCCCCUCGUCGCCCUAUGAGAGAGCGACCACCGGUUGUAUCUGGCACUUGGAAGCAAUAAUAUCUGAGUACAGACAUAAGUUAAACAAGUUUGCCUUAAGAAGGCUAGCACAAAAGUAGCAACGAUCGAAAAUGCAAGGCCUCUUGCUUGGGACCUCCUAACUAUUCCUCGAAGUCAAAUUCCGUGUAGAACCAUCCUGGGGAUCCUCUGGCUCCUGGACUCCAUCAUAUGAUCGCAGUAACCGAGAAAAGGGGAAAAAGAAGUAGGAAAGCUACCGUGUGUACUCAUCCAAAGUGCUCGCAAGCAAGGAUCUACAAUACAUAUGCAUUGGUAUCAAUGAAAUGGGUAGUAUCUGUGGACUAAGCUGCAGAAUGCCAGAAUAAGAGGGGGAUAGCUAGUCCUAUCAAAGACUACGCUUCUGGCAGCCUCCAUCUUGAAGAAGUAGAAGAGAAUAGAUGGUAAAUUCACCAAGUAUCAUCGCAUAGCAUAAUCCUACCCGGCGUUCCUCUCCUCGUCGCCCUGUGAGUGAGCAGUCACCAGGUUGUAUCUGGCACUUGAACGGGAGUGUUUUAUUAAGUAUCCGGUUCUAGUUGUCAUAAGGUCGAGGUACAACUCUGGGUCGUCCUUUUACCGAGGGACACAGCUAUUCGAAUAGAUAAACUUCCCUGCAGGGGUGCACCACAUAACCCAACACGCUUGAUCCCUCUGGCCGGACACACUUUCCUGGGUAUGCCCGGCCUCGAAGAUCAACACGUCGCAGCCCUACAUAGGCACAACAGAGAGGUCAGCACGUCGGUCUAAAUCCUAUGGCGCAGGGGUCUGGGCCUAUCGCCCAUUGCACACCUGCACAUUGCGAACGCGACCAGUAAGCAGACCUAGCCUCCCUAAUACAAGAGCAGGCAUUCCAGUCCAAUCCGACGCGCGCCGCUCAGUCGCUGACGUCAAGAAGGCUUCGGCUGAUACCACGACGUCGAGUGCCCAUAACUGUUCCCACGUAGUUGGUUAGUGCAUAUAGGCUAGUGGCCAGACUCAGAUCAAAUACCAAGAUCUCGUUAAUCCCUAAACAAAUAAAUAAAUCUAACUUAUUUAAAUGGGGGCCCUACGUGUCAUCUACUACUAGACUCACUUAGCACAAGUUUAAUCCUAAACUAGACUAAACAAGAUCCGGCUCAUACACAUGCCUACGCACACGCGACCGAGUACGGGGUCCUUGGUGGCCAUGCCCAAGAAGCUGCAACAGCAAUAUGCAGUAGCUAGAGUAGUACAAAGCAGCAACAGUGCAAAAAUGGCUAGAGCAGUACAAAGCAAUAGGGCAACGCAAGGAGUAGCGGCAAUAGGACAAAAUAGCAGCGGCAAGCAAGCAGUAGAAAUAGCAGUAUGCGGGAGCAGCAAGCAGACACUGCCGGGCAGCAACAGCGGCAGGAGCAAGGCGGGGAGGGUGCCACAGGCGGCAUGGAAGGCUGCAGGCGGCCCGGCCAUCAAGCGGCCAGGGCGCAGCCUAGAGGGGCUGCAGGUGAGGCAGGGCGCGGUAGUGAGGGGGGAGGCAGCAGUAGAGUAUGUACAUAGGAGCCCGGGCUCCAGCCAUGGUGGCCACGGACGAGCACAGGGGCGGUGCCUAAUGGGGUGGAUUGAAGUUGGGAGCAAGGGGAAUCGGUCAGGGACCUCAUCGCGAACCUGUAGAGGUGCAAAGCAAGCUCAGGGAAGGCUUGGAGGUGACAAGUUGAAGCGGUGAUGAGCGGCGGCCAGAGGUGGAAGAUGACUCGAUGCAGGUGAUAUAGUGGCGCCGAGCUUCAACACGAGGCAGUAGAGGAAGUAGCGUGUGACGACGAAGUCCAGGGGCAUGACCACAGGCUUUGAGGAUGACGGGGAGCGCACAAAUAAUGACGGCCAUGGCGGCGGUGGUUCAGGUGUGUGUGGGAGGAAGAGAAUGGCGCGAGGGGGAAGGAGUGGACGACUAGGGUUCGUCUAGGAGUCUGGAUGUUCCUAUAGAUGGCGGGGAGAUAGUGGAUGGAUGGCGCGUGCACCCUAUCGGCUAUGGAGCUGGUGGAUGACCGCCACGCCCCUGUCCUGUAUAGAGGAAGGGGAUGAACCCCAUUGGGCCGGGCCAUAGCAUUGUUGCACAUAGAGCCCACUAGUACAGUAUUAGCUAGGCCUUUUUCCUUUUGUUUUCUUUUCUUUGUUAUUCUAUCUCCAUUGUUUUGUAUUAACAUCUGUUACCCAUUGACUUUUGUUAAAUAUGGUAUUAGGCACAUAAAUACUAGGCAUUAUUUUUUAGCAUGCCCACAAAGUUUUGAGGCAAAUUGAGUUAAACAAAUAAUUGUUUAUUUUGAAAAGGUCAUUUUACUUGUUGUUGGACCAUUUGUUAAAUUACUACGAAUUUAUUUGUGAGUCAAAUGAAGUUUGUUUCAACAUGACAAUUGAUCAGGGGAAAUUAU